GAAUUAGUAAUUUAAUAGGUAAAUAGUUUUCUUGUCGAGAAAAAAGAUAUCGGUUCAAAUCCGAUUUAAUUCG